GGGAAAGCACGGCCUAGCAUCGGCAACCUGGCUGGAGGAGGAGGGAAGACACGGAGAAAAAUGUGACAAUAUACUGUAUGACCUUUAUUUGUAGAAACACCAGUGUUUGACACUUCACAGAAAACAGAGACAAUCCAGCAAACAAUUCUGCCAUCUACCCAGGAGACCUCCUCCAUUGCUCUUCUGUACUGGUACCUAGAAGAAACAGUUCAUUUGUUUACUUCAUAUUUGAAAACACUCUGUGGCACAGCAUUCAAAUAGGAAUGAAUAUUUGUCAGCGUAAAGCUAAAGAGUGUAGCUGCUGACAAGUAGUAUAAGAUUAUAUUAAUGGUUUUCAAGUUAUUCCACUCUCCAUAAGGAAGAAUUAUAGAACUUCCACAUCUGAGCACUGAUAACAGAGACUUAAAUUUCACAAAGUGUAGAAACCGAGGCCAAUUUUGGCAGAGGUACAAUAGAAAAUUACUUUAAAACCUUUUAGUCACAACUCCCAGUAGUCUCCCAAAAGCCAUCAGUAGUUACAACCUACAGUUUGAGAAACAAAGCAAUAAUGACCAAUGUAUCAUUUGUUUUUACUAAUGUAUUUAUUUAUAGCUGUAGGAAUAAAGGUGUAUUUCAUAGAUUACUCAUGUGACUGUUUUCCUCCAAUUUGUUAGAAACAUAUUUGCAGGUAACAUAAAUACACAAGUUUACAGGUUCCCAAGAAGUCCUAUCUUCAAGUGUUCACACAGAAUGACAGCAGUUAUUUGAUAGUGUUUUCAAGAGAAGCAAAAAAGCUACAAACACUAUCUACAUAGGUUUA